AGACAGUUUAGAAAUAGAAAUAUGUCCUAAUCGACAAUGCCAAAUAUCAAUAUUCAUAUUUACAGCUCUAUCAUUUACUGAGGUACAAACAAUUGGACUUUCUUUAUUACAUUUCAAAGGUAAGACAUAAUUAUGGUGUGGAGAUCCUUCAUUGCCUUGGUGUUCAGGAUGCUGAAGAUGAUAUAGUCCACCUUCAAGCUUGCCUACCCCAAUCGUCAUCCAUGUUAAAAGAUCCUGAACAAAACAAUAAUUGUGAAUGAAUGUUAAGAAACAUUUAUGCUUGAGUGUCAAUUUGCUGGCAGAUAUUAGAUUGAACUUAAAUGAUGGCACAACCAAAACAUUUGUCAAAAUCAAGUCAUCAGAUAACUUCACUGUCCCUAUGUGUGGGACAGCAGUAGUGCUACCAUCAGGUAGCCUAACAGAUCCAUUAACCGUAGCAUUCACAGUGGCUAAGUAUUGAAGAGUACAAACCAUGUGUUCUGAAGCUCCUGUGUCUAUGAUCCACUUGCCUGCAAGAGCGGGAUUAUUGGAGCAUGUAUGAUUACCUGAAAAUGCAAAUGCAUUAGGCAUUGAAGGAGGAGAUAUCACAUCUUGAGUCUGUUGGUUACAGGUUGGAAUCUGUCCCUGCAACUGUGGUGCCAAUACAACCAAAAUUUGUUGACAUUGAUAUGUCAUGAUGGUGAGGUUGGAAAGGAAAUUCAUCAUCUAUGAACUGUCAACCCGUGGGGGUUAACUAACUGCAUUUGCUACUGGACCUUUUUCUUUAGCAAAUCUGUGCCCAGGGGGAUAACCAACUAGCUUGUAACAUUUCCCUUUAAUAUGCUCAAGCAUUCCACAGUAGUUACAGAUUGGCCUUUCCAUUUUUUGUAAUGUAUUAGCUCUUUGAACAUUGGACUUGGGAAUUAAUCAGUUGGAAAUCUUUACCUUAUUCUCAUAUUCUAAAUGACAAGAAAGCCAAAAAGGAAAAGGAAAUAAGUCAAUUUUUAUAACCUGGAGACAGCAGCUAACGUACUGCAAUGUGCAUAUAAUAACAUUUCUUUGUCAUUUUCCAGUUUAACCCAAUUUAACCAAAUGGUGAUGCCCUAAUCUAUAUUUGGAGGAAAUCAACUUCCCUGACCAGCAAUAUUUACCACAUUUAUCUCUAUUCUCCAUACUUGGCUAUCAUAGAAAGAAGAGAUCGCCAAAGAAUAAAGGUAAAUGCCUAGAGUUCCAAUGGUACAGGGCAUGCAUCCCCGAAGAACAUUUCACUAAAAUUAAUAAUUCUGUUCUGUUGUAGGAAAACUUGUUGAUGAAUAAAAUGAUGAAAUCUACUGCAAAUGCACAAAUUGAAAAUACACUAAUCUAAAUGCAUGCCACGUGUAUACUUGAUCCCCAUAUACUUAAUGGACUCCCCUACAUGUACACCAAGCCUUACAGCUCGGUGUACAUCCCCCUUACAUGAGGGGCAGGACCCGGGCAUUAAUUGGGCAUGGGCCCCUUCCCCCAUGUGAGGGGAGUGUACACCUUGGUGUACAAGGGGCUUUAUUCUACUUAAUGGUCAUUAUAUUUGAUAGUUGUGAGCAUUUCAAUUAAAGGUUGUUCUACGGUAGUAAUACCCGUCCAUUAAUAGAUUGCCAAAAAUAUCCUUUAACACUGGUAUGAUUCAUACAAUACAGGCUUGAUCUCAUACUCUCAAUGGAUAUGAGAAAAAUUGCCUAAUAUUAAUGUUGCAAGAGAACCAUAAGUAAAGUUUUCUUGCCAUAUGAAUAGUGAGAUUUUUUACCCCCCACUAGGGACAAGAGAUCAAUUUCAUCAUGCAAUAUACCUUACUUCUUUCCAAAAAUGAGAUACCCGCAAGUAUUUUUGAUUCAUGAGGAAUAUAAUAGGUCUCAUUGAUAGAGAGACUAUUCAUAGGCAUUUCAUUUUCAUGAAGCUUACGUAAGCAUGCUCAUCCAUGAAGAAGCAUAUUUGCUUCCUCCACAAGUCCACCAUUCUACCUUGACAAACCACUAAUUUCAGUAGCUAUAUAUAUAUAUUUUUAUUAAUUUCAACAUAUCCUGCCAAUUUAGGUCUGCCACAUUUCUCGUUUCUUAAUUCCCAAAUCCUCGAAGUUUCAAGUUGCAGUUUCAAGUUACAAGUGUUUAGCGCUUAUUUAGAAUAUAAGUAUAUUUCACUAUGCCGACACAUCAUAAUGCACAAAUAAAUGCAGAAACAAAAGGCAACUUCAAAUUUCAAACCAUAAAGAAAGUCCCCUCCCUUUAGAAUAUGCAAUUCUAUUUCAAAACUAAUAGGAAGUGUUACCCAAAAACGAUGGGAAAUGGUCUUGUCGGAGACAGGAGAAGAAGCCGCCCAUGAUGUCGAUUCAUCUAGUGCGGGAUUCAAGAAGUUGAGGUCAUCAGCGCAGGUAGCUGUUGAGGAUAGCCGAAGAGUCAAAGCCAACUACAAUUGGUAACUCUCCUCCUCCAUCUGCUGUGCCCAGCUCUUUGAAGACCAUGAGCCUCCUCCACCUCCACCUGACUUCCCUCUUAAUCCGCAGCUUCCGCCAUUGAUAAUAUGGCUGAAAAGAUGCUAUCUUGAGGUUCGAAGGAAUUGAAGGAACAUAGUAGUCUCCCGAGAUCAAACUAUCACCAAAGCUACUCCCGCUUGAAUGCCUCUGCAAACCGAUUGAUGGAGGAAACACCGCCGCUCUAAUCCGGCUAUGCGGAGGCUACCAUAACAAUGAGUGGUCGAGAAUUUA
rnacentral:lncRNA from 1 species